GCUCGGGUGGUGGAAUUGGUAGACACGCAGGACUUAAAAUCCUGUGUCCUUUAAAGACGUGCGGGUUCAAGUCCCGCCCCGAGUA
rnacentral:tRNA from 1 species